UUUUUUCUUUUUUUUUUUUUUUUUAGAGACAGAGCUCUCACUAUAUUGCCCAGGCUCAUCUCGAACUCCUGUCUCAAGCAAUCCUUCCACCUCAGCCUCUCAAAAUGCUGGGAUUAUAGGCAUGAGCCACUGCACCCGGCCUUGUUUAUUUUUCUUUCAAUGAACUAAUAAGUGCCCAGCUCUGAAAUUUCACAAGGCUAGCACCCAGAUCAAGGAACAGAAGUCCCCUUGUGACUCCUAUCCCAGUCUCCACCCUCCCCGCCCCCUAAACACCAUGAAGUAGUUUUGCCUGUUUGAUAUAAAACCUGAUAUAAAUGCAAUUCCAUGGAAUGUGCAGAUGGUCCUCUUUCGUAUCUGGCUCCUGUCAUUCCACAUUAUGUUCAUGAGAUUCACCUAUGUUGGGAGUAGCAAAAGAUAACUCACUUUUGCUACUUCAUACAAUUCUAUUGUGUGAAUAUCCCAAGAUUUAUCCAUUGGAGACAUGUGGUUAGUUUCCAAUUUGGGCUAUUAUGAACAUCUCCAUGAACAUUGUCCUAUGUCUUCUGAUGUGCAUGUGUGCAUUUGUGUUGCUUAUACACCUAGGAAUUGAAUCCGUAGGUUACACAAUGUGUGUCUGUUCAGCUUUUGUGUUGCCCAACCAUUUCCCAAAGUGGUUCUAUCAACUUACACUCAAAGCAUAUGAGACAUUCAGUCACCCCAUGUUCUGGGCUGAAUUGUGGCCCCUCAAAUUCACAUGUUGAAGUCCUAGCCCCUACUACCUUAGAAUGUGAUUGUAUAUGGAAAUAGGGCCUUUAAAAAGAUAAUUAAGAUUAAAUGAGGUUAUCAGGGUGGACCCUAAUCCAAGAUGACUAGUGUCCAUAUAAGAAGAGAUCAGGACACAGACACACACAGAGGGAAGACUCUGUGAAGACACUGGAAGAAGACGGCCAUCUUCAAGCCAACGAGAGAGGCCGUCAGAAGAGACCAACCCUGCUGACACCCUGAUGGACUUCCAGCCUCCAGGACUGUGAAGAAACACAUUUCCAUUGUUUAAGCCACCCAAUCUGUGGUACUUUGUUAUGCCCGCAGAUCUUAAAAACGUUAAAAAGAUAAGAAGAGGAUAUGACAAACAAUGACACUCUUACGCCAAUGAAUUUGAAAAUUCAGAUGAAACUUAGAAAAAAACACAACCUACCAAAGUAGAAACAUCUGAAUAAUCUCAUUACUCAAUUUACUCAAUUGUUUAAAUUGAAUUUAUGAUUUAACACCUUCCCACAAAGAAAACUCAAGUCCAGGUGGCUUCACUGGUGGAUUCUAUCCAACAUUCCAGGAGGAUAAAUAUUUGCUUUUCCAGGGACCGCUAAAAGAGGGAGCACCUCUCAACUUGUGUGAGGACAGAAUGACCUUUAUCCCCAAACCAAGAAGGAUAUUGUAAGAAAAGAAAAUUAUUAGCCCAUCUCUCCCAUGAACAUAGAUGUAAAAAUUCUAAAAAUGCACACACACACACACACAAAUUAACUAGGCAUGGUGGUACACACCUGUAGUCCCAGCUACUUGGGAGGCUGAGGAAGGAAGAGCCCAGGAGUUUGAGGCUGCAGUGAGCUAUGAUUGGGCCACUGCCCUCCAGCCUGAGAAGCAGAGUGAGACACUGUCUUAAAAAAAAAAAAAAAAAAAAAA
ensembl:lncRNA